rnacentral:rRNA from 1 species
GACGAACGCUGGCGGCAUGCCUAAUACGUGCAAGUCGAGCGAACAGAUGAAGUGCUUGCACUUCUGACGUUAGCGGCGAACGGGUGAGUAACACGUAAGGAAUCUACCUAUAAGCGGGGGAUAACAUUCGGAAACGGGUGCUAAUACCGCAUAAUAUCUUCUUCCGCAUGGAAGAAGAUUGAAAGACGGCUCUGCUGUCACUUAUAGAUGACCUUGCGGUGCAUUAGUUAGUUGGUGGGGUAACGGCCUACCAAGACGAUGAUGCAUAGCCGACGUGAGAGGGUGAUCGGCCACAUUGGGACUGAGACACGGCCCAAACUCCUACGGGAGGCAGCAGUAGGGAAUCUUCCGCAAUGGGCGAAAGCCUGACGGAGCAAUGCCGCGUGAGUGAAGAAGGCCUUCGUGUCGUAAAACUCUGUUAUAAGAGAAGAACAAAUCGUAGAGUAACUGCUACAGUCUUGACGGUAUCUUAUCAGAAAGCCACGGCUAACUACGUGCCAGCAGCCGCAGUAA